GAUGAACGCUGGCGGCGUGCCUAAUACAUGCAAGUCGAGCGAACAGACGAGGAGCUUGCUCCUUUGACGUUAGCGGCGGACGGGUGAGUAACACGUGGAUAACCUACCUAUAAGACUGGGAUAACUUCGGGAAACCGGAGCUAAUACCGGAUAAUAUAUUGAACCGCAUGGUUCAAUAGUGAAAGAUGGUUUUGCUGUCACUUAUAGAUGGAUCCGCGCCGCAUUAGCUAGUUGGUAAGGUAACGGCUUACCAAGGCGACGAUGCGUAGCCGACCUGAGAGGGUGAUCGUCCACACUGGAACUGAGACACGGUCCAGACUCCUACGGGAGGCAGCAGUAGGGAAUCUUCCGCAAUGGGCGAAGGCCUGACGGAGCAACGCCGCGUGAGUGAUGAAGGUCUUCGGAUCGUAAAACUCUGUUAUUAGGGAAGAACAAAUGUGUAAGUAACUAUGCACGUCUUGACGGUACCUAAUCAGAAAGCCACGGCUAACUACGUG
rnacentral:rRNA from 1 species